UCCGUAGGUGGAUAAUUAAGUCAGAGGUGAAAUCCUGCAGCUCAACUGUAGAAUUGCCUUUGAUACUGGUUAUCUUGAGUCAUUAUGAAGUGGUUAGAAUGUGUAGUGCAGCGGUGAAAUGCAUAGAUAUUACACAGAAUACCGAUUGCGAAGGCAGAUCACUAAUAAUGUACUGACACUGAGGGACGAAAGCGUGGGGAGCGAACAGGAUUAGAUACCCUGGUAGUCC
rnacentral:rRNA from 1 species